rnacentral:rRNA from 1 species
GGGGGGGGGGGGGGGGGGGGGGGGGGGGUGGGGGUCGGGGGGGGGGGGGCUGGGUUGGUGGGGUGCUCGAGUGGCGAGCGGGGGAGUGACACGUGAGUAACCUGCCCUUGACUUUGGGAUCGCUUCAGGACACUGGGGCUAAUACCGGCUAGGAGCUCCUGCUUCAUGGUGGGGGUUGGAAAGUUUCUGCGGUUGGGGAUGGACUCGCGGCUUUUCAGCGUGUUGUUGGGUUCGUGGCUUACCCCGGCUUUGACGGGUAGCCGGCCUGAGGGGGUGACCGGCGACAUUGGGACUGAGACACGGCCCAGACUCCUACGGGAGGCAGGAGUGGGGAAUAUUGCCCAAUGGGCGGAAGCCUGAUGCAGCAACGCCGGGUGCGGGAUGACGGCCUUCGGGUUUUAAACCGCUUUCGACUGUGACGAAGCGUGAGUGACGGUAAUGGGUAAAGAAGCACCGGCUAACUACGUG